ensembl:lncRNA
AUGGGAUUAUGUGGCCGCACCUUGAGUCUGCUGCCAGCUGGGGAGCUGGCCACCCUGGGCUUCGCGCAGUGGGGGGGGGGGGGGGGGGGGGAACCGUGCGGGCGUGGGAGGGGCACAGGGAGGCGGAGGGCGCAGGGCAGUGGCCUCGCUCAGCCGCCCUCCGUGGAAAACAGCGCUGAUCACGCCACCCCCGGCUGCUCUCUGGAGAGAGCUGCUGUGCGCCUCGUCAAGCGAGCCCGCCUCUCACCAUGUGGGUCCAGUUGUUGGUCCUGGGCUCAAGUUGGCCAAGUGCAGAGAAGCAAGCUAACAGGAGAGAGAAAAAAGGUUCCAGCUCUGUUAUAUAACGGCACUACAGUAACGCACCCCGGUCCUUGGCAGCCCUGUAAAUUCCUCCUCUCUGAAUUGUUGGUUCGGGACAAUCAUUCAGCAGGGAAUUACUUUCUCAUCUAUGAAAUAAAUGAGAUGUUAAACUAGUUUUCUGCUUCCUGUGGUACAAAUGUAUCAGCGUGCAGCCCCGUGCAGCGAGGAAUCAAAUGCCCAGGGCCUCUGAUGGUGGCGGCCAGAAGCUUGAGUGGGCUCAGGGCUCUGGGAUCAGUGAGUGAGAGUGUGGCCCCUGGGAAGGGCGAUGGAAUGACGUGAGAUGUGAAGGGAGGAGGGGCAGAGUGAGUCCCCGAGGUGCUUUGGGUGCACCCCCGGAAUUCAGCAGAGCCCAGGAACGCAGCUUGGGAAUGUAGGUGGAGAGAAGGGGAUGCCUCCGUCCCUGGGGGUCCCUGUGCUGCCAUCUGCUUUACAGGGAGAAAAGGAAGAACUGAUUGGCUGCAGGUGACACUCCUUGGGAUUUCUUCUUGAGAGCUUAACACACAUUUCCACGCAGGCAUUUACAAACUGCAUAAGACAUUGGGGAAAAAAUAGGAAAAGAUUCUUCCCGUUUUAGGGAUGGGAAAGGUGAGAACUUGGGAAGGGAAGGUGAUACCACUGAGUUAAGGGUACAGCUGGGAGUACAGUCUGAGGGUCCGAGACCCUGAGUUAGAGGUGGGGGAACACUGCUGCUCCUACAAAGGCAGGGCCUCCAGCCUUGCAGCUCUCUUCUCUCCUCACACUGGGUCUUCCUCUUCAUGGUGGCCACCUUCAUGACCUCAGUUGCAGGCUUGGAAGACUUGAUGGGAUCUGAUUUACUUACAGAGGCCUUUUUAUCAGGCAGGCUUCCUAAUGAGAUGCCCCAGGUGCUACAGAUUCCCUUUAGAAACAGGGUUUGGGAUUCUUGGCUGGGUCCCCACCAGCCCACUUAGAUAAUGUGUCAGCACUCUUUUGGGGAUGGGUGGGGUGGGAGAUUGAGUUGUGCCCCCUGCGCAUCUCAUCAGCCACAAGUUGAGAGGCCUUCUGAAACCAUAGCAAGAGGUGUUGUUUUGUUUGCUUUUUAUUGAACACCUAUUAAGUGCCUUACUUUGUGCCAGGCACCAUAAGUCCAUUAUCUUAACUAAUCAUUAUAGUGAGCCUAUGAAGUAGUUAUCAUGUGCCCAUUUUAUAGAUGGAAAUACUGAGACUCAGAGAAUAUGAUUAACUUGCCACAGUUGACAUGUAAAACAGUGAUAUGUUGGAAUUCAAAUCCGUCACACUAUGCUUAAGCAUCAUUUCCUUUGAGAAAACUUUCUUUCCCUUGCAGACUAGCUAGGACCCUCGUCACCACCCUUCCUGCUACUCCUUAAUCACUCAGCAAUUUCUGUGUUUUCUAGUCCUCUAUCAGCUCCAGGAGGGUGAAAAUCCUGUCUGUCUUGGCCCCACCCUUGGCAAGUCUUUGGUGAAUGUUGAAUGAGUGAAUUCACGUUGCUGUAUACUAAGCCCACCUUUUCCCCAGCUCAGCUUGGAAGAGAAUGGGUCUGGUAGAGAGGAAGAUCCACAGCUUUGUUUGCUCCUAAGCGUCCUGGCUCCUGUGUGCCUCCACUCGAUUCCAAAGCAAGAUCUUCGGGUUUUCAGAAGCCCAUGUCUUGGACCACGGAUGCAGCUGAUGCCUCAUUCUCAGGCUUACUUUAGCCCGAGACCCAGCUCUGCUGAGAGAACUGCUUUCAGAUUGCCAAGGCUUUGUGUGUUGUUACUAAUUAGGAAAUUGCCUUUGGAAUUGAAAUAUGUUUCACAGACGAAUUUACUGAACUCCUCGCCGAGGUGCGAUUCUCUCAUGCUUGUUGUGAGACAAUCCCACUCUGCGGCGACAUAUGGAGAUACCAGCGUUUCUGCAAAUUACAAAGUCAUCAGCGCUCCAAAAUGCUCCCAGUGUCUUGGGUGCUUGCAGAUAGUUGGGCUGACCGCUGGGGAGCUCUGGGGUCUGGAUCCCCCCCGCAGAGGGGCAGCAGCUGGCUCCCACUGGUUGUUUAACGCCCUCUGCUAAGAGUUCUCUGCUUCUGACCCAGGGCUCAGCGAGAAGCCUUCUAGAAAUAAAUCUGGGAGCAUGGUCUGUGGUUCA